AUUGAACGCUGGCGGCAUGCUUUACACAUGCAAGUCGAACUGCAGCGCGGGCUUCGGCCUGGCGGCGAGUGGCGAACGGGUGAGUAAUGCAUCGGAACGUGCCCAGUAGUGGGGGAUAGCCCGGCGAAAGCCGGAUUAAUACCGCAUACGACCUGAGGGUGAAAGCGGGGGACCGAAAGGCCUCGCGCUAUUGGAGCGGCCGAUGUCGGAUUAGCUAGUUGGUGGGGUAAAGGCUUACCAAGGCGACGAUCCGUAGCUGGUCUGAGAGGACGACCAGCCACACUGGGACUGAGACACGGCCCAGACUCCUACGGGAGGCAGCAGUGGGGAAUUUUGGACAAUGGGGGCAACCCUGAUCCAGCCAUGCCGCGUGCGGGAAGAAGGCCUUCGGGUUGUAAACCGCUUUUGUUCGGGAAGAAAUCCUCUGGGCUAAUACCCCGGGGGGAUGACGGUACCGGAAGAAUAAGCACCGGCUAACUACGUG
rnacentral:rRNA from 1 species